CGUCCUAAAAAAUCGAAAUUUUAUGUCUCCUUUUGGAUGGGAAUACAAAUGUUGAGGCCAAGGGUUACAUAAUUGAACUUUAUCACUGCUUUAUUAUUCAUUAUUCAAUUCAAAGAUUCUUUCUGGUUUUGAAAAGAUCACCCAGGUUCACGGGGCAUAUACAGUUUUAAAAUCUGGUUUACAGUUUUUUUUUCAAUAAUUGGUGUUAUUCUUUUCCAAAUUGUGUGAGAAAAUUUCAUUAAUUGUUUUAAAUAAUUAUAUCAAGGGUUGAAAACUGAAAUGGUAAGUGACCUCAAUGGUCUAGUACAAUUUCAUCAAUUAAAAUAGAAAAUUCAUAGAUUUUCUAGACCAUUUCUCCAAAUUGGUUCUCCCGGAGAAUAGGGCAUGUGACUAUUCGGGAUGUGAUUUUCCUUCGGUGCAUCAGAGAACCGAUUUGGAGUUUUUCUUUAUGUACGAUAUAGCAUUAGUCCUUCAAAAUAUAAGUUGCAUAUAAAAGGACUUGAAAUGUUUUUUGUGGUUUGUACUUUGUUGGCUCACUCAUGUAUGUGCCUUACUGGUGGCAGGUCUGAGUCAGAAGUUGUUAAUGAUAUUACUCGCACUAUUUUGGCAAGAUUUACUCGGAAACAUUUACAUGUUGACAAAAACCUCGUUGGGAUGGAUGAUCGUUUGAAUGAAGUUAUUCCACAAAUGAUAGAUCUAUCAUCAAAUGAGGUUCGCAUGAUUGGGAUCUAUGGACUUGGAGGAAUUGGUAAAACAACCGUUGCCAAAGUUGUUUAUAAUCGAAUUGCCCCUCUUUUCAUGAUUACUAGCUUUAUUGCUAAUGUCAGAGAGGAUUCCAAAAGUAGGGGUUUACUUCAUUUACAAAAACAACUCCUUCAUGAGAUCUUGCCAAGCCGGAAGAACUUUAUAAGCAAUGUUGAUGAAGGGAUCCAUAUGAUACAAGACAGGUUAUGCUUUAAAAGUGUUCUUCUCAUUCUUGAUGAUGUUGACACUUUGGACCAACUAGAAGGCUUGGCUGGUGAUUGCAAUUGGUUUGGUCCUGGAAGUAGAAUUAUUGUAACAACUAGAGAUAGGCAUUUGUUGGAUGUGCAUAAAAUGGAUGCAUUUUAUGAGGUUAAGAAAUUAGAUCAAAUGGAAGCUAUUGAGCUCUUUAGUCAACACGCAUUUGAACAGAAGCAUCCCAAAGAAGAUUAUGAAACACUUUCAAACUCUAUGGUGCGUUGCGUUGAUGGUCUUCCUUUAGGCCUUAAAGUUUUGGGUCGUUUCCUAUUUGGCAAGACAAUACUUGAAUGGAAAAGUGAAUUGCAAAAACUAAAACAGGAACCUAACCAAGAAAUUCAAGGUGUGCUCAAGAGAAGUUAUGAUGAAUUAGAUCUCACACAAAAGGAUAUAUUCCUAGAUGUUGCUUGCUUCUUUAAUGGAGAAGAUAAAGAUCAUGUUACAAGAAUCCUAGAUGCUUGCAACUUCUAUGCAGAGAGUGGAAUACGAGUCCUCGGUGAUAAAUGCCUCAUAACUAUUUUUGACAACAAGAUAUUGAUGCAUGAUUUGUUACAACAAAUGGGACGAUACAUUGUUCGACAAGAUUAUCCUAACUACCCUGAAAAAUGGAGCAGGUUGUGCUAUCCUGACGACGUAAAUCGUGUAUUGAUCAGAAAAUCGGUAAGAGCAAAAUGUAAAUGAACCUACUUUCAUACUUGAAGGUUAUUUGAAACACCUAAGCUUCAACAGUAUCAAUUUUUUUUUUUUAAGUUAUAUAUCUUAUUUAACUUUUAUAUGUUUUUCUCUUCACUUAUUUUUUACUCUUGUUUGUUAGGGAACAGAGGCAAUUGAGGGCAUACUCUUCGACUUGUCUAUACCAAAGCGUAAGCGGAUAGACAUUACUACUAAAUCCUUUGAGAUGAUGACAAGACUUAGGUUGCUCAAAAUCUAUUGGGCUCAUGGAUCUAUUUCUAUAAGGGAGGAUAAUAAAGUAAAGUUGUCCAAAGACUUUGAAUUCCCCUCUUAUGAGCUAAGAUAUCUCUACUGGCAUGGAUAUCCUUUGGAAUCUUUGCCUUCAAGUUUUUAUGCUGAGGACCUCAUUGAACUUGACAUGUGUUACAGCAGCUUAAAACAACUUUGGGAAAGCGACGAGGUAUGAAAUUAUUUAUUCAUGUUUCUUUCUUUAGAUAAACCUCUGAAGUUCAUGAAAGCUUAUGCAUUGUAUCAUUUUUUUCCCUCUCUCUUACAGCCUCUUGAAAAGUUAAAUACUAUCAGAGUUAGUUUCUCUCAGCACCUCAUGGAAAUUCCAGACUUCUCAGUUAGGGCUCCAAAUCUGGAAAAACUAAUUCUUGAUGGUUGUUCAAGUUUGCUUGAGGUUCAUCCAUCUAUUGGAAGGCUGAAGAAGAUUAUUGUAUUGAAUCUAAAAAACUGCAAACAGCUUAGCAGUUUUCCAAGCAUCACUGACAUGGAAGCACUUGAAAUUCUUAAUUUUGCUGGCUGCUCAGAGCUCAAGAAGUUUCCGGAUAUUCAAUGUAAUAUGGAACAUUUAUUGAAGCUUUAUUUAUCAUCAACUGCUAUAGAGGAACUUCCAUCUUCAAUCGGGCAGCAUAUCACUGGACUUGUUUUAUUGGAUCUGAAAAGGUGCAAAAAUCUUACGAGUCUUCCCACAUGUAUUUUUAAGUUGAAAUCCCUUGAAUAUCUCUUUCUGUCUGGCUGUUCAAAAUUGGAGAAUUUUCCAGAAAUAAUGGAGGACAUGGAAAAUUUAAAAGAGCUUCUUUUAGAUGGAACAUCCAUAGAAGUGCUACCCUCUUCAAUUGAACGUCUAAAAGGACUUGUUCUAUUGAAUCUGAGGAAAUGCAAAAAGCUUGUGAGUCUUCCAGACAGCAUGUGUAAUUUGAGAUCCCUUCAAACAAUCAUUGUCUCUGGUUGUUCACAACUAGACCAAUUGCCUAAGAAUGUUGGGAGCCUGCAACAUCUAGUGCAGCUCCAUGCUGAUGGAACUGCUAUAAGACAACCACCUGACUCAAUUGUUCUUUUGAGAGGCCUCCGAGUGUUGAUCUAUCCUGGAUGUAAAAUAUUACCAUCUAGCUCAUUGAGUUCACUCUUUUCAUUCUGGUUGUUGCAUGGAAGAGGUUCAAAUGGGAUUGGUUUGCGCUUGCCUUCUUUUCCAUGUUUAAGCUCCUUGACAAAUUUAAACCAAAGCAGUUGCAAUCCAAGCAGAAACAAUUUUCUAAGCAUACCUACCAGCAUCAGUGCACUUACUAACCUGAGAGACCUUUGGUUGGGGCAGUGCCAGAAUCUUACAGAAAUUCCAGAGCUUCCACCAAGUGUCCCAGAUAUCAAUUCACGUGAUUGCACAUCCCUUUCAUUAAGUUCAUCCAGUAUAAGCAUGUUGCAGUGGCUGCAGUUCCUAUUCUAUUAUUGCUUGAAGCCAGUUGAGGAGCAAUUUAAUGAUGAUAAGAGGGAUGCAUUACAAAGAUUUCCUGAUAAUUUAGUGUCUUUUUCUUGUUCUGAGCCCUCUCCAUCUAAUUUCGCUGUGGUGAAGCAGAAAUUUUUUGAAAAUGUUGCAUUUAGCAUGAUUCUUCCUGGAAGUGGAAUUCCCAAGUGGAUCUGGCAUCGGAAUAUGGGAUCUUUUGUAAAAGUAAAGCUACCUACGGAUUGGUAUGAUGAUGACUUUUUGGGAUUUGCUGUCUGCUCUGUUCUUGAACAUGUCCCUGAUAGAAUUGUAUGCCAUUUGAGUCCUGACACUCUUGAUUAUGGAGAAUUGAGAGACUUCGGUCAUGAUUUCCAUUGCAAAGGUAGCGAUGUCAGUUCAGAGCAUGUCUGGUUGGGUUAUCAACCUUGUGCUCAGCUGAGGAUGUUUCAAGUGAAUGACCCGAAUGAGUGGAGUCACAUGGAGAUUUCUUUUGAAGCAACCCAUAGACUCAGCUCAAGAGCAUCAAAUAUGGUGAAAGAAUGUGGGGUACGUCUUAUAUAUGCAGAAGAUCUUGAAAGUAUACAAUGCAGCCCUCUUCUUGGGAGUUUGGGUGACUCUGGAUCAAGAGUAGGAGGCAAUAUAGUUGAGAGAAGCAGUGACGGGGCAGGGCCCAGUGGAAGUGGAAGUGGGCACAGUUCUGUUGGCAGCAGUCAGCAUUCCAGGAAUGAUCCCUUGCUGAAGGUCAAGCGCAAAUAUUUCCCAGAAUGACUACCAUCAUCCAAGCACUUUCUUCCAAUAAACUUCUCUUCUGUUGAUUUGGUUAUGCACGCUUCAAGUUAUGAUUAUUUUCUUUCUUCCAUUGUAUUGACCUCCUCCAAUCAUAUCUCUCUAUUACAUCUUUGUGGACCUUUUGGUAAGCGCCUUCUUUUUCUUCUCUCAUUAAGUUCAUAAUGAUUGAAGCAACUGAAAUUGGUUGAGGUGUUUUUAUUUCUUAUUUAAUUUUUUCUUUUUAAUGUUUUAGGCAGGGAUUUUUCAUAAGAAUAUAACCUUUGAUUCUGCUGAAACUUGUUUCUUGAGCCUAUGUAAAUCUCUGAUAAUUAGAAUUUUGUUUAGCACUGGAUGAAUCUUGUGAGUUGUUUUGAUUAAAAAGGCCAUGCAAAGAUGUUGUUGGGUGUUAAAUGCAAGUUGUUUGAUGAAAUGCCCAGCAACAAAACAUCUUUAGAUUACAGGCUACCUUAAGGUAUAGUAUCUCCUAUUUAAAACAAACAGGCUAGUGAAUCUGUUCAAACAGAUUUGAGGAUAUCUUGCCAAUACGGAUAAAGCAGAAACACCCAUUUGAAAAUCUCAAGACUCCUCUCACCAUGGAGGUUGAAAUUGUAAGUAAUACUCCCCAAAACCACCUAUACACUGACCUUGGUUGUCAAGAGAGAUCAAAUCUAAUCCAAUCUUAUUUAGUUCUGUUGUGUAUGUGUGUGUAUGUAUUCAACAAGAAUCAUGUUGAAAUGAGUAAAUACAGGAACUGCUCUGCUUUUGAUCCAUUGGUUAGUGCUAACAAGCAUAUAAAUUGGAAUUAGGCAUUUGUGAUAGUGACUAAGGAACCCUUCAUUCUGGCUGACUAACGAAUAUGUCAAGAAGUGAAACAUGCUACCCCCUCCCCCUCCUACACACACACCCUGUAUAAAAACCAAGUUAUAUGCUACCAUUUUCUAGCACUUCAAAUCUUUCUUAAAUUGGAUUCAGUGGGCAUUUACUUUUUGGAGUGAAUGAUUUUUGUGCAUUAUAACCUUCAGUUUUUGGUAGUAAUAAUUUUAAAUUGAAUAUCAAAGAAUGAAUUGAAUUUCAAAGUCUAAGAUGAUAUGGCCAUUGUUUUUGGUUCGAAUGGAUUUAAUAUUGUGGAUCGCUUGUAGUGUAUCAUUUUAAGUCUGAAUGAAUUUGAUAUUGUUUUGGUUGUGCUUGAGUGAACAAGCUGGGGAUAUGAUUGUUUUAUAUUGGUUCUUUAAAUGGUUAUGAGCAUUAGAGGAGCCUCUAUGCCAUUUUUAUUUUCUUGGAAGUCUUAAGGGACGAAAAAUAGGGAAGAAAGCAAAGCAGGAAAUUUUAGAAACUCACAUUUGUGUCAUAAGUUAUGGCCUUUGUACACUUUGUUUAAGAUGAGUUUGAAAAUCAGUUGAAAAUGUAACUUUUAUAAAUUUAUUUGGGUGGAAUUAUGAAUUAAGUUCUGUGACCAGCUGCCAUCUCUAUUGCACAGAAUACAAUCAGAAUUUGCAUGAAAUGAUUUAAUGUGGUGCUUAAACACAUGUGAGAAACUUGUUAGAUUCUUGCAAUUCUGAGUUCAGGAUCCAUAAAUCAUUGGAAUUAGUUUAAUGUAUAUAAACACAUACCACUAUAUAAAUUUUCCAGCUGAAAAACCAUAUGGAAUGUGUUGUUUGUGCAAUGAUAAUACCAUGUUUAUGAAUCUUUGCAGUUCUCAUGGCUUGUAGACUGUUGGAAUAAAAUUUCGCUCUUCUAAAUUUAUUUAUUUGUUUAGGAAAAUGAUUUGAAUGGUUCUCUUUUAAUUCUGUUGGAAUUGCUUUCAGUCCAGCAAUCGCUAUUUUCUCUGUGCAAAUAUUUGUGGUCAAAAUAUAGCAGGCAAAAUUUAUAAUCUAAUUUAGAGUGAAGAGCUACAUGUAUUCCAUCCAUUAAGUUUCCAUCUGUAAUCCAUUGCAUGUUUUGCUCUUCAUCAGUGCUUGUAAUUAUUUUCCCAAAUAUUUGGUCCCAUGCUUUUGAUAAUUGGGUUUCUAUGCGGUUUGUUUCAUAAAUUGCUAUUAAAUUAGGUUUUAAAUCAAACCCAAGUGGCAUGUGCUUUGGUUCCUCGAAUCCAUUGUGAGUUCUGCUUUUUAUGGGUGUUUGGAUUAUUUGAUUUUCUUUUAAUGCCUUUGAUAAUUGGUUUCUGGUGUAGUUUGUAUGUACUUACCUAUGGAAGUAGGUUCUAAAGAAAGCCAAAAUUUGUUUGUCUUUAGGUUCUUGAAGUUCUAAUUUGACUGGUAGUUCAUAGUGAACAAUUUAAAUGUUUUUUGGAAUCCAUUGGUGAUUUUUUCAGAUUCAUAAGUCAUUUCAUUUUGAGAAUGAAUAGGUUUCCAAUUGUCAUCCACUUUGUAUUUCCACUAUAGGAAAAAUACAACAAUAUCAAUAAAUAGGAUCGGAUAAAUGACUCUUAGAAGAUUUUGGAUAAUUUGGUCCAUACUUAUUGUUAUGAACUCCUAAGAAAACCCUUUAAUAUAAAGAUACGGGACUAUAAGAGUCCUUUGUAUCUUUCUACCCUCCACGAUCAAAGGCACAAAAUGACUGCUUGAAAAAACUCUGAUAGGGAAUUGCUCUAGAGCUUAAUUAUUCACACUUUGGAUGGAUUAUAGUUCACACCAAUGGUGGCUUUAUUUAUAGAAUGUAAUAUGGCAUAAGAUAAAGACAGGUUUGAAUUUAAAUCGAGAUAUAUAGAACUCUCUAACUAUAUGAAUUAAAGAAAACAUUUUGAAUUCAAUUGAAACAACAUGGACAGUGAAUAUAGACCAAGCCCGAAAUCAAUCUAGAAUCUAUUCUCUCACUCAUUUGCAUUGGAUAUCUUGAUAACAGGGAUAAGCCAAAAACACACAUGUGAAAAAUCCAAGACUUAUCUCACAAUAGAGGUUGAAAUUGUAAGCAAUCCUCCCAAAAUCACACCUAUACACUGACCUUGGUUGUCAAGAGAGGCCAAAAAUAAUCCAAGCUCAUUUAGCUCUUUUUUUUUUUUUUUUUCUUUUUCUUCUUGUUCCAAAAGGAAAUCAACCAUCAUUGUUCAAUUAUUUUUCAACUAGAAUCAUGUUGAAAUGAGUAACUAAAACUCAAGUUACAUGACCCAUUUUCUAGCACUUAAAAUCUUGUUUCAAAUAUGAUAACAUGGAUAUUUACGUUUUUGAGUAUGAAUGAUAUUUUUGCAUUAUAACAUUCGAUUUUUAAUACCUAUAGUUUUUAUAUUGACUAGGAAAGAAUGACUUAAAUUUCAAAGUUAGUGCUAAGCUAAUUUUUUUGGCCAUUGUUUUUGGUUUGAAUGAAUUUGAUGUUGUGGAUAAUUUUUGGUUUGGAUAAAUUUGAUGUUGUUUUGGUUGUGUUUGAACUAACAAGUUGGAGAUAUGCAUGAUUUGUUUUAAAUUGGUUUUUGAAAUGGUUAUGAGCAUUAGAAAAGUCUUUAUGCUUUGUUUGAUUCUUGGGGAACAAAAGAAAUGAGAAAGCAAAGCAGAGAAUUUUUCGAAACUCACAUUUGUGUGGCAUGUUUUGUAGAUCUACUCAGGUGAAAUCUAUAGGAAUUUUUGCUAACAUUUAUAGUAUUGUCAUAAGAGAUGGCCUUUUACACUUUGUUUAAGAUGAGUUUGAUAAUCAGUUCAAAUUGUAAGUUCCAGAAAUUUCUAUAGAUAGAAAUUGUAAGAACCUUAUUUUAUGUUCUAUGACAAGCUGUUCUCUCCAUUGCACAGGCCAGAAUGAGAAUUCCCAUGGAAGGAUUUAAUGUUCUUGUUUCUUGUAGAGCAACUCCUUUGCAAGUGCAGCUGUCCCACCAGCUUGUAAUUUUUUUUUUUAACUAUUAAUAUAUUUUAGAUGCUACUUAUGAAACUAGUUAUUUUUGUUUGUGAUAAAUUCAGCAGAGCCUUAUUAAGGCUUUUUUUAUUCAAUCCAUUGUUGUGGCACAGAUGCCUUUUGCAAUUCUAAAUACAGAAUCCAUGCAUCAUUGGGCUUAGUUUCAUGUUUAUAUAAACAUAUACUAAGGGGACAAUGAAUUUUGUAUAUUGAUUUCAAGGAUGAGUAUAUAUAUAUAUAUAUAUAUGUAUGUCUCUAAACAAUGCUUAAAUUAUUGGUAACAAUGCUCUUGGUGAAUGCUUAAAUUAGUUAACAAUGCUCUUGGUGAAUGCUUAAAUUAGCUAACAAUGCUUACGACAUAGGCUAAAUUUGUAAGUAUAUAAGCUUCCCAAACUAUCCUUUGAUACAAACCUCAGCCAACUACUGCCUCCAUUUUAUCAUCACCAAGUUUGUGAGUUGCUUCAGUCGAUGUGAUAGUUGCCUUACAUCCUACCAUAUGAGUUUCUUUUAAAAUGUCAAUAACAUACUUCUAUUGUGAUGUAAAGAUACCUUUCUUCGAAUGAGCUAUGUCAAUCCCUAAGUACUUCAAUCUUUUAAGAUCUUUUAUCUCAAACUCUACAUUUAGAUGUCUUUUUAGUUGUUUCAUCUCUUUCAGAUCAUCAGCAAUAAUUAUUAUGCCAUCUAUAUUAACAUUUAAAGUAGUCACCUAUCCUAAAGUGAGCUUUUAAUAAAUAGGAUAUGAUCUCCUUGACUCCGUUGAUAUUUCAUAUUCAACAUAGUUUGUUAAUCAUUCAAACUAGUCCCUAGCUAGAAGAUUGCUUGAGUUCAUAUAGUCCUUUCUUAAGUCAGCACACAUGGUUGUUCUUGGGAUGUUCAUCAAAUCUUACUAAAGCUUCAAUAUGAACCUCCUCCUACAAAUCACUGUGAGAAAAUAUUUUUGACAUCAAAUUAUUGCAAAAAUCGAUCAAGAUUAGUAGCCAGCUGUGACAAUAAAACUCAAACAAUAUUUAUUUUGCAAGUGAGGCAAAGGUUUCUUGGUAAUUGACCCCAUAUGUUUGAGUACAACUGGUGGCCACCAAUCUAAAUUUAUAUCUUUCUAGAGUUCUAUUUGCCUUAUAUUUCACAAUAAACACCCAUGUACACCCAACUGGUCUCUUCUCUUUAGGAAGCUCAACAACCUCCCAUGUUUGAUUUUUUUUUUAGUGGUCUCAUUUCCUCACUCAUUGCAGCUCUCAUUUCUAAGUGCUUCGUAGACAACUUUUGGAAUAUGAAUGUGAUUUAAUUCACACAAUAAGGCUUUAUGAGAGGGUGACAACCUAUGAAAUGAAAUGAAGUUGGAGAUAGGAUGUUGAGUAGCGCAUUUUUUGGAAGGUAUUAGGCACCAUAAAGCUCUUGUAAUUUAAAAAAGGUGCCUAUAUUUAUUUAUUUUUUCUCUCCGCUACCCAUUCUCCUGUGGCAUAUCACUAAAACAUGAGUAAUGGAUAAUCCCAUUUUCUCCACUAUCCCGUACUCUUGAGCAUUGGCAGACCUCACUUUUGGUUUGAACUCCAAAUUGAUCAUUAAUCAUUUUAUGAAAUAUAGGAAACACACUACUCACUUCUGAUUUAUCUUUCAAACAAAUAAAACCAAGAGAUUACAGUGUAAUCAUCAAUGAAAGACAUAAACCAAUGAGAUCUAGAAAUAUUAGGAAUAUGAGGACCCUGCACAUCUGUAUUAAUCAAAGUGAAUUGGGGAGAUGAUCUAUUAUCACUCAACAAAAAUGAUGUCUUGUGAUGUGUAGCCAAUUCACAAACUUCACAAUGAAACAUAUUGAUGUCUAGAUGUUCAAAUAACGAUGGAAAUAUUUUUUUCAGCAAAGGGAAUGGAGAAUAUCCUAGUCUAAGAUGUAGGCAAAUUUGGUUUUUAUUGGAUGUGGUUUUUUUGAAAGGUUAAAGAGUGGCAGUUUGUCACGGAUUCCACCACUAGCUUUAAGAAGGUAGAACCCUUCCCGUUCCUUAGCAUGCAUGCCUAAUUGUCUUUCCCGUAACUGUCUUAAAACACAUAGUGAGAAGGAAAAAAAAUUUCACAUUGCAUUUUAAAUCUUUUGUGAUAUGAUGAACCGAAAAGAGAUUAUUUGAUAACUUUGGCACAUAUAAAAUAGACUUUAACAAUAAAGAUGGUUACGGCUUUAUUGUGGCCUGACCAGCCACUAUAGCGAGAGUGCUAGUAGCCACUUAAACUUUGUAUUACCAGGACAAGGAAUGUAUGUGGAAAAUUUGUGUGAAGUGUUUGCCAUAUGGUCUGCUGUUCUUUGAAUCAAUUACCCAAGGGCUUGAGAGACGAUCCUUUGAAGCACCUAGAGCAAAAAAAUUAGUGUACUUACCUGAGCGUGCCAAUAAGCAUGAAGUACUACUCAAAUUUUCUAGGGACGAGAAGAGAUUUUUGAAUCAUUCAAUCUCCUCUUUGUUAGAUCCUUUAGUUUAAUAGUUGUCUAACAUAUUUUUCUCGUAAAAGACCAAAUGAUUGAUUCUUUCCAUGAAGCUUCCAACAAUUCUCCUUCAUGUAUGGCAGCUUCUUACAAUGGUUACACCAUAAACCAUCUUUUUUGGUUGAUGGUCUAGGUUUUUCAGCUUUUCCAGAUUCUGCAAUAAGCCUGAUGUUGUUAUUGUUCGGUGAAGAAAUGACAAGUGUUGAUCCUUCAAUAGAGUGAUUAUCGAGCAUCAUUGUUUGACGACCUUCCUCAGCUCUGAUUCUGGAGGAAACUUCACUUAGUAGUGGCAAGAAUUCCUUUUUAAGGCCUUGAACCCAAACCUGAUCAUAUUUAACAUUCAGACCAACCAAGAACUUAAGGAUUCUCUCUUUUUCCACAAAUUUCUACAUCAUGGUAUUGUCUUCAUUGCACUUCAUUUUGAGGUUUGGAUAAUGAUCUAGAUCGAGCCACAAUCCCUCAGUGUUGUAAUAUUUUAUCACAGACAUGGGUCCUUAUUUGGUUGACGUUAUUUUCAUCUUGAUUUCUUACAUUUGAGUACCAUCUCUAAUCUUAGAGUAUGUUUGUCUCAUAGCUUCCCAAAUUUCUCUAGUCAUCGGUGGAAACAUACAGGUACCACUAAUCACUAGUCCCAAAAAAUUCCAAAGCCAUGACAUGAUCAUGGAGUCUUCUUUAUCCUAAAUAUUAAAUUUGGGAUCUUCGUGGCUAGUUGUUGGUAUGAUAAGAUAACUCAGUUUUCCUUUACCAGUGAAGAAGGUUCAGACCAAUUGAGAUAAUAGAAGAUAGUUUCUAAUAUUCAAUUGGAAAACAACUUGAAGAUUCUGUUACUCACUUUAGUGUGAUUGUUGAGGGUUCGUAGUUUAAGGGAUGAUUGCUUAGCUCAUCAAUUCAGAGAUUUCUCCCAUUGUGUGAUAGAUUAUAAGGAUUUAAGUAUGAAAAAUAAAAAAAUAAAAAUUGGUUCUUUGUAAUCAAUAGUAAGUGUUGAACAAUUGCAAAACUCUACCAUGAAGAUCCUUGAGCUUUGAUACCAUGUGGGAAAAAUGAAUUAUGAAGAUUGUUUUGAAAGGUGAGUGUGUGCAGGUACAUAUAUAUAUAUAUAUAGUUAAGGUACAUGGAAAAUAAGGAAAUUAUUCCUAAAAAGCCAUACCUAAAAUCUAUUUUGAAGAUCAAAAAAUAAAAUAAAAUCUCAAAAGAAAAAAAAAAGAAAAAGAAUAUGGACCUUCCUAAUGAAUCUUAUAGUUGAAUCUUGUUUAGUGAUUGAUUUCACCAACUCUUGGUGAAUAGAUUAUAGGGGUCACUAAUCAUAUUUGUAAGUCUUUACAAGGUUUCAAUUAAGGAGAAGGUUGAAUGAUGGGGACAUGUACUUGACUCUUAACUUCUAAUGAAAGGAUAGCAGUGGAGGCUAUAGGAGAUGUUAUCCUAGUAUUAGAUAAUAAAUGUCAUCUAAAACUCAAGAAUUUGCCUUUAUAUACUUGAAGGUAGAAAAAGUCUUAUUUCAGUUUCUAGUUUAAAUAAAUCAAAUUAUUUAGUUUAUUUCAAUAAAGAUGAUACUAUUAGAAAGAAUAAUUCAUUUAUUUGUUAUUAAUUGAUAAUCUUUAUCGCAUUGCUCCUUUUAUUUUACUAUGUUGAGAAUAAUUAGAUUUCAAUAAAGAGAAAAUUACCUAGCACUAAAUAUGAUCAAAAGACCGGUUAAGUCUAAAUCAUUUGACACUUUGAUUCCAAAAAAUCUUCCAAUUUACGAAUCUUAUAUAGAAGGUAAAAUGACCAAGAGGCUCUUCAUUACUAAACGACUUAAAGCCAAAGAGCAUUUUAGCGUCUAUGCAUAUGGAGAGUAUGAGUAUUUCAUCAUUUUUAAUAAUGAAUGUUCUAGGUAGGGUUAUGUUUACCUUAUUAAUAGGAAAUCCAAUCCCUUGGAUAAAUUCAAGUAAUUUAAAGUUGAAUUAGAAAAGUAGUUAAGUAAACACCUAAGGACACUUCAAUCGGAUCAAAGUGGUGAAUACAUAUCCAAAAGAUCAAAUAAUCUAGGAUGUCUACUACAACUAACAAUCACCUAUUUAUACUAAUACCCUGUCCACAUGACAAAGUCCUAUAAUGUUACCUCAUCUACCCAUCCAAACAUCAAUGGUAAAACCUAACUAAAAUAACCACAAAGUAAACAUCACAAAACAAAGCUAGAAUUGAAGUUUUUACAAUAAUAUGUCAAAACUGAAAGUUCAGUAUCAAAAUGCUUUUCGACACAUCACUAUGAAUUACAACAUAUCUCGACAAUAGGUUCAACAAAAAUGAAAAAUCUCUAAUACUGAAUCAUAUUUCAAUACCACAACUAAUGUAUCAAAAUGACCCCUUUUGUUGAUUUCAUGUGCUUCAAUUCCUCAGUGACCAUUAUGAUUUGAUACUUCUUUGCUUAUAUCGAAAUGCAUCUGGCACCACAUCUUCCAUUCCAAUGUAACCUUUGUUCUUGCCCCCUAAUUCUUUCUUCAAUGUUUUCUUCAUCUAUCUUGAUCCUUUCUUCACUUAUCCAAUCCUCCAAAAUGCGUUUUUCAAACCUUAUUUUGCUACACGAGACACUCAAAAUUCACGUUAGUAACUACAAUAAGACUUUAGCAAUAACACAAGCUAAAAGAACUGAUUUGUGCUCUCUUUUAUACCAAAAUGACAUGUUUUAUCAUUGAAAAUCACAUGAUUUGAGCACAUAUCAUUCAAAAAUCAGAGAUCAUGUGAAUUGAAACUGCAUAACAGUCUUACCGAUUUGAGCUUCUUUCCCACUGGUUAAAAAAUCUAAUGAGCCAGUGGUCCACUACAAUUAAUAGCCCCGGCCUUCACAAAACCAAAAGGCCCUAAGCGCAAAAAGCAGAUCAACUCCUCCAUGCGUCGAGCACCCAUAAUAAACUGCAUUGAAGCAUCAAAAGAAAGUCAAGCAAAUACAUUUUGACAUCUUCUUCUUCUAUUGUAUAUUCUGGUAUUCUUCCUUUCACCAUGUUUCCCCUCGGAAAAACACAAGGAAAAAGACACGGGUUAGUCGACUGGGCGUUAGGAAAGAAAUCAAUCUCUUACACUCCAAGAGAUCCAUCCUUUGGUUCUGGAUGAACCCCAAAAGCAAUGAACAGAUGGACUAGUUAACUAAAUCCCUCUAAUGACCUUUGUCAUUUAAAUGUCAGCUGCAUAAUCAUUAGCACCUUCUUACCUAGAAAUAAAUUGUUAGAAGCACUGCAAAAUUACUCUUAUCUAGUAUUUCCUUCAGUGGAAGUGCCAAAUAAUUAGACCCUGAUAAUCAUCACAUCUGCAACAAAACAGAGUAGAAAAACAAUGACAAAAAAUACAGCUAUGAAAUAAUUUAAUAAUUAAAACACAUUUUUUUUAUGAUAAAAUAUUUCAGGUUACUUUUGGCUGAAGAACCAUAAGCAAAUUUUGGGGGGCACAGGUAUAAUCUACAUUUCAGGCUGAACACACUAAUAGAGACAAGCUAGAAACCUUGUCAACAACAGGAAACAAAAUAUAUGUGACUAAAAUAAAGAGAUGUAUGCUUCAUAAAAACAAGGGCUUAAAGUGUCUUUCUCAAAUGGGACGAAUAAUUAAAAAAGAAAACAAUUACAUUCUUAAACAAAUUAGAAAUAAGGCACUCCCAAGUGACUAAGAAUAUUAACUAGUAGCACUCAAAUGACCACAUUAAACUAACCUGAUCUGAGUUAUUUGCUAUGCCUUUUGUCUAGUAUCCCCACCAAUUACUUGAAUGGACCACAGAGCAACAGAGGCCACUUCCACUUGCACCCACACUGGAAUCUGCUGAUUUGAGGUCACUGAAAUUCCCAGAAGAGCUGUGGUGGAUCAUGGUUGAGUUUCUCUCUUCAUGAUCUUGAGCGUAUAUAAGAUGGAUCCCACACUUUCUCACCAUGUUGCUUGGACAACAGCUAAUGAAGCCAAAUGAAGCCUUAGCAUGCCUCCAUCUAUUGGGGCAAUCACCAUAGGAGAUCCGAAGUCGUCCACGGGGCUUGUAUGCUAGCCACAUGUGAUGUGACUUGAGUCUGUCUUCACUAUUGCCUUCACAAUCGAUUGAAUGCAAAAUAUGACCAAUGCCUCUAAAAUGAGAUUCAUCAGAUUGCAAUUGACACAGAAGUUGGGAACUGCAUCCAUUGGGGGCUAUGUCCUCAAAUGCAAAAACACAGCAUACAGCAAAUCCUAAGAAGUUACUUUCAAACCAAUGAGGAGGCAGCUCUAUUGUCACUUCAGAUCCGAGAUUCUGAUUCGAGAUCCAGUCUGGAAUUUCACUUCCAGGAAGAAAAAUGCUAAACCCAAAAUCUGGAAGAAAAUUCUGUAAAAUGAAAAGCAUAAAAUGUUACAUCAUUUCGAACAUGCACAUAUCCACAGAGAGAGAGAGGGAGAGAGAGAGAGAGAGAGAGACCUGAAGUUUCUGUAGCAUAUUUGUGACAAUCUGCAUUCUGGGUGAUAUAAUUGCCAUAUCAUUACUGCAUGGGUUUUCAGCAUCCAGAUUGAAACAAUUUGGGAGUGUAAAUACUAGCCAACGGCAAACAGGCUGGUUAUUGCAGACACUAGAUGGGGUUAAUAUAGUGUUAAGGGAUGAACAAUAUUGUGCAUUUACUUCUAUUAUACUUGAUGGGAGCUCGGGAAUUUGUAAGAGACUCUUGCAGUGGUUCAAGGAGAGGAAUCUUAGUUUUGAAAGCUUACUAAUGCCUGCAGGUAAGCUGAAAAAGUUGUUUCUGCUUAGAUUUAAUGUUUCCAAUGAGGAUAAGUUGCAGAUAUCAAAGGGCACUGCUCCCUCCAUUAGAUUGCAGUCACUUAUAUCUAGUUCUCUUAAGGAGCACAAACCCGACAAAGAAGGCAAUUGCAAACCAAUGGUGUCUGAACUUUUUCUUGGCAACAACCAGAAUGAGAAGAGUGAACUCCAUGAGUUAGAUGCAAGUCCUUUACAUCCCCCAAACGACAAUAUUUCAAGAUUUCUUAAAAGAACAAUUGAGGAAGGUGGUUGCCUUACGAGUGUUCCAUCUGCCUGAAGCUUCACUAAACAUUGCAAACUACCCAGGUUCUCUGGCAAUUGUUGGAGCUUUGAACAACCAGAAACAAUAAGUGUCUCAAGAGAUUUCAAGUUACCAAUGCUGCAAGGAAGAGUUGCAAGGUUUUUGCAAUCUCUCAGGUUCAGAGAAACAAGGCCAUUUAGAUGUUCAAUUGAUGGGUGCAGCUGUUUUAAGGCAGUUCCAUCCAAAAGAAGCUUUUUUAAAUGUUCCAUGUUCUCCAUGAUUUCAGGAAAACUCUCUAGUUUUGAGCAAGCAGAGAGAAUGAGAGUCUCAAGGGAUUUCAACUUACAAAUGCUACUUGGAAGAGACUUAAGCCUUUUGCAAUUUUCCAAAUCUAACAGAAUGAGUCCUGUGAGAUACCCAAUGGAGAAAGGUAAUUCACUAAUUGCUGUCCCAUCUAAAUAAAGCUCAGACAAAUGUUGCAUAUUGCCUUGAAUUUCUGGAAAAUUCUUGAGAUCUGAACACCCAGAAAGAGACAGAUAUUUAAGGCAUUCCAACUUAAUACUUCUUGGAAAACUCCUUAGUUUUUUGCAGUUUUUCAGAUUCAAGAAAAUAAGCUUGUUUAGAACUUCAAUAGAUGGGUCAACCUCAAGAAAACUUGUACAACCUUCAAGAACUAGUCUCUCUAGAUUUGGCAUGCUUGAGAAGUUUGGCAAAUGGAUGAGAUGUUGAGAGUUACUGAGUUCGAUAGUAUUUAAAUUAUCAAGAACCUGUAACAAAAGAAAAUUUUAUCAAAUAACUAUAUGGUGAAAAUUUAGGUCGAGAAACAAACAUAAAUAAAGAAUAAUGAUACCUCAUUUCCCUUCCAAAGUUCUCUCAUAUAGCUAUAACACAUGUUCAGCUCAAUGAGGUUCUCUGAAUGAAAUUUGGAUGGCAGAGACCCAAAAGGGUAUCCAUGCCAAUAGAGAUAUCUUAACUCAUAAGAAGGAAAUUCAAAAGAUACAGAAAGGGGCUCUUUAUAGCCUUCUUUUCCAAUGCCCGAAAAAUUAAAAACUUUAAGUAAUCUGAGUCUAUUCAUCUUAGCAAAGGCUUCUGUAGUAAAUUGUAUCUCCUUUGAUCUAUACAUAUCAAGGAAUAUGCCUUCAAUGGUUUCUGUUCCCUGAGAAACAAGAAUGACGAAUAAGUGAGGAAGAAAAUUUAUGAAUACUAACUCAAUUAAUUAAAUUGUACUUACCUUCUUGAAUGAAAAUGAUUUUAUUGAAGCUUACAUCUUUGUGCAAAUGUUGGGUAUGAAAAGUAAAGUUUAUGCAUUUGACACUUACCGUAUUUUUCUUCAAUACACUGUAGAUAUGCUCAUAAUCCCAUAGUCUGCUCCAUUUUCCAGGAUCUUUAGGACAUUCUUGGCGUACAAUUUCCCAACCCAUUUGUUGUAUCAAAUCAUGCAUCCAUAACCUGUUAUCUAACAAGUCUAUGAGGCACCUGUCACUGAGAACUCUUAUGCCACUCUUUGCAUGAAAUCCGCAACCAUCUAGUAUUUUUAUAACAAAAUCAUACUCCUGUCCUUUAAAAAAGCACGCAAGAUCAAGAAAUAUCUCCUUCUGUGUAAAAUCUAAUCCAUCAAAACUUAUUCUAAGAACAUCUUGAACCUUUGUAUUAAGCUCCUUUUUUAGCUUAUGUAAUUCACUUUCCCACUCAAGUAUUGUCUUACUAAAUAGGAAAGAACCCAAAACUUUAAGAGCCAGUGGAAGGCCUUUAGCAUAAUGUACUACAUUGUCAGAGAGGUUCAUAUAAUCUUUAUCUGGACUUUUUCUUUUGAAAGCAUAUUGACUGAAAAGUUGAAGAGCUUCCUCUGGUUCUAAUUCCUUAGCCUCAUAUAUUUCACUCACUCCAUGCACAUUUAGUAGAUGUUUAUCUCUAGUUGUUAUAACAAUUCUACUUCCAAUACCAAACCAAUCAACAUUUCCAGCUAAGGAUUCUAAUUGAUUCAAAUCAUCCACGUCAUCAAGAAUAAUAAGAACCUUUUUAGAGUGAAGUCUGUCCAUUAGCACAUUGAUUCCUUCAUCGAGAUUGCUUAUCCUUUGACUCCAUCCCAUCAAAAUAUCACCUAGAAGUUGUUUCUGUAAUGGAAGCAAACCACAGUUUUUGGAGACUUCUCUAAUAUUUGCAAGGAAGCUAAUGCCCUCAAAUUGACUAGAGAUUAGAUUAUAAACAACUUUGGCUAUAGUUGUCUUACCCACUCCACCUAUUCCACAGAUCCCAACCAUACGAACAUCAUUUGAUUCAAUACUUACUCGUAGAAGUAUUUCUUUCAAACGAGAAGACACUCCAACUAGAUGUUUGUCAACAUAUAACAAUUUUCGACUCAAUUUACUCAAAAUCUCUUCAAUAAUUUUCUUAAUAAGCUUCGACUCGUACCUGCCAGCCACAAAUCAUGACAAUACAUGUAACCUUAGGUUAAAAUAAGCUACAAAAAGUAACAGAUAUCAAAACUGAGCAAUCAGGAGGCAUUUCCAAUUAAUAAUGUGAUGUUCAUCAAAACUGACUUUUUUUUAAGAGUGGCCACCGAAGUACAUACUUGCACUCGUUAAUACAGCAGAGGGAAUUGAUGUGGGACAAAAUGUCCAUGUCAGUUACAACCCAUGGAAGAUUUUCCUUUUCCCUAUGGUUUUCAUUUUUCAAGAUUUUAUUACUCUACUUUCUUAGUUAACUGUAUCAGCCACUAGGGACUUAAAACAGAUCCCUAUAGUUUCUUAUAUUAGAUAGCCCCAAUUUUAGAAAAUUGUUAUUAUUUGAAGGAUUUUAUAGAUCCUAUAAAGUAGCCUCCUACCUUAGAAACCCACCAAAAAACAACCUGAAGAAUAGUAUCAUUCAAUUGCUUUAUGGUGUCAUAUCUUCAGUAGAGUACUAAUGACAUGUUAUACAACUUUUUUGUUCUAUUUUAUCUAGAACAAGUGUAGAAUAGUAGAUGAUAUCUUGUUAACCCAAACAAAACAGAACAUCCUGCUAUUGAUAGUGUUACUUUUUAAAAAACAAAAACAUUUUUCUCAUCUAUAUUUUCUCUAGAAGAAGGUACAAGCAAGAACAAAAUUUUAUUGGCAAGAGUGUCAAUUAUAGUUACCCAUUCUGCAGGUGCCAUCCAGAUAAAUUGGCUGCUUGAGUCAAGGCAGCUCUCCACCUUUUAGCCCUCUCUAUCACCUCUGUGUCUUCUCCAUGACUAGCAAAUGCUUCCAUGAAACUCCCAGUCUGCUUCCGGACAUGGGUCGGAUCCACAUCAUAGAAAACUGGAAGAACUGUCUGUCCCUUCGCUUUCAUGCACUCAAUGAUCUUCACUAGCUCAUCCAUACACCACCCCGAACGAGCAUAAUUCUUGGAGAAAACCACCACGGAAAUUCUUGAUUCUUCGAUAGCUUUCAAAAGCUCUGGUGCAAUCUCUUUUCCUCUCUCAAGUUCUUCGUCAUCUCUAAAAGUGCGAACCCCUUUCUCAACCAAAGCAGCAUAGAGAUGAUCGGUAAAACUCCUGCGGGUGUCUUCACCUCUGAAACUCAGGAACACGUCAUAAUUCCAGUGAGAAGCAGAAUCUUUUUGGUUGAUCAUUGAAGAGGCCAUUGAAGAUGAUUCCCCCAAGACUAGCUUCUCUGCAGAUUACAUUUGUUUGGGUUUUUCAAAGCCUUAUGUCCAAGACUGGUAAAGGAAAAGAAGUUUUCUGCAACUCUGGAACACACAGCUAAAGCGGAAAGACGAUGUCUGAGCAUUCACGGAAUCCAACGGACAAGAAUAAACCUUUUUCUGGAGGGUGGGUGACCGCAAUAAUUGCGUACGUUCAAAGAAGAACAGUGCGCACUUUCGCUUUGGGCCAAUCAUCUUAAAGGCUUAGUAGGUUGUGAUAAUGGCCGUAAAAGUCAGAAAAAAUGUAAAAUUGCUGUAUGAACAAAACCCAGACGUGUGCGUGUUGUAGUUUUUUACCGUGGCCCCAUGCCUUCUUCCAUUUUUUUAUUUUUUAUUUUUAUUUUUUACUCUCUUUUUCAUGUAUAUAUUUUUUUUUCUAGAAAUUUUUUAACAUUAGAUUGACUAUUGGUUGGUUUUUAAUGUAGGUCCCAUGCCGUCGUCUAUUUUUUUUUUAUUUUUUUUGCCUCUCUAUUAUAUAUAUAUAUAUAUAUAUAUUUUUUUUUUUUUCUAAAAUUUUUUUAACAUGACAUUGAAUACUAUUAUUAUUAUUAUUAUUAUUAUUAUUAUUAUUAUUAUUAUUAUUAUUCAUUACUACAAAAAUACUUUAUGGUGUCAUUAUUUACGGUGUCACUUUUAAAAUAAUGACACCAUAGGGUUUAUAAUUAAUAAAGGUGACACAUUAUAUAAAAAAUCUUCAAUUGAGGUAGUUAGAUGAUAUUAAUUUUAUAUUUAUAGUGUCAUUUUUUGGGAAGUGACAUCAUAUAAAAUAAAUUUUUUUAAGUAUUAUAACUUAAUGAGCCCACUUUUAGAAUUAAUAAUGAUGGAUACUAUAUAAAAAUCCCAUUGUUUCCAUAUCUCACCCACAAUCCAAAAAAUCUCAAUAUAUAAAUCCUAUAUAUAAAAUCAUGAUCUUCUUCAACCUUUUCUCUCACCCAUCCAUAGUCAACACGCUCAAAACCGACAUUCUUCACUUUGUGGACUCCCAGGUAACCCAAAAUCUCUUGGAUCUAUCAUUUUUUUUCUUUUAUUAAUGUCAUUUUAUUAAUUGUUUCAACAUCUUUGUAUUAUGGUUUUUGUGAAUUGUGUUUUCUUGAGUUGUAGGGAAGAAAAAUUUAGGUUUAAUCUUCAAGCAUGGAAGAAAAAACUAUAGAUUAAUUGAUUUUUUUAAUCUAAACCAAACACAUGAUCAAGUCCUUAAAAAAAAGUGAAAAAUAGGAAAAAAUGAAUGAUUUUUAAUAUGUAUUUGUGUGAGAAUGACAGGUACAGAAUUUUUUUAAGAUAUACUAUCACAUAAUCUUCAUCCUUUUUAAAAAACAAGAGAGGAAAAAAAAAAAGAAUGAUUUUUCUGUUUGUAUCUUAGUGGGAAUGAGAUAUAGAAUUUCGUUGAGAGUAUCCAACCCCAAAAGGACCAAUCCGGGAAGGCAUGUGUGGUAUUGACGGGAGAUGAUAAGAUGGAAAUCAUAACCAUAGCCAUGUUCUCUCUGUGUCUUUCUAUCCUCUUCAAUUAAUUCAUGGGCAUAGAUAUUUUAUUUAGUUUUUAUAUUUAGUUUAUUUAUAGUUUAUUUAGUUUCUAAAAUCCAAUUAGUUAGAUAUUUCAUUUGAUUUUGUUUUUAUAUUUAAGUAUUUGAGUUUUGGAAAGUUUUUAUAUUUUGUUAAUAGAAAGAGAAAUUUUUAUAUUUUUUAUUAUUAUGAAUUUCUAUUUUGUUAAAUUGUAAGUAUCUAUCUCAAUAAGAGAUUAUUAAUAUUCAAAUGAAAGCGAUGAAAGAGAGUAAAUAUUUUAAUGCUCAAUUAUAUUUUAAUGUUAUUUUUUUUUUAUAUAAGGGUUUAUUUAUGUUUUCAAUUUUGAAGUUCCCUUUCCAAGUCCAACAACAAAAGUAGUGUCGAACCUUAAAAUGGGCAUGUGUGGUAUUGACGGGAGAUGAUAAGAUGGAAAUCAUAACCAUAGCCAUGUUCUCUCUGUGUCUUUCUAUCAUCUUCAAUUAAUUCAUGGGCAUAGAUAUUUUAUUUAGUUUUUAUAUUUAGUUUAUUUAUAGUUUAUUUAGUUUCUAAAAUCCAAUUAGCUAGAUAUUUUAUUUGAUUUUAUUUUUAUAUUUAAGUAGUUGAGUUUUGGAAAGUUUUUAUAUUUUGUUAAUAGAAAUAAAAAUUUUAUAUUUUUUAUUAUUAGGAAUUUCUAUUUUGUUAAAUUGUAAGUAUCUAUCUCAAUAAGAGAUUAUUAAUAUUCAAAUGAAAGUGAUGAAAGAGAGUAAAUAUUUUAAUGCUCAAUUAUAUUUUAAUGUUUUUUUUUUUUUUACAUAAGGGUUUAUUUAUGUUUUCAAUUUUGAAGUUCCCUUUCUAAGUCCAGCAACAAAAGUAGUAUCCAACCUUAAAAUGGGCAUGUGUGGUAUUGANNNNNNNNNNNNNNNNNNNNNNNNNNNNNNNNNNNNNNNNNNNNNNNNNNNNNNNNNNNNNNNNNNNNNNNNNNNNNNNNNNNNNNNNNNNNNNNNNNNNACAUAGUUUUAGGCUCACAAAAGUUAUGCAUAUUAAUGUUAUUUUUUUAUUUGAUUUUAGUGUGGUAAAAAAAAAAACAUAUUCUCACGUAGAGUUCGAUGAAAUUAGAGGAGAGUGGGCUAUUUUUGUGCUACACACAUGGAAGAAAAUAUCUGUAAUCACGGAUAUAUCGGUAUUUCGAUUUUACGGAUAUAUCGGAGAUAUAUUGGCAGAUAUUCUAGAAAAAAAUAUUGGUAGACAUAAAAUUGUUAAAAACUCACGGAAAUGCAAGAAAAACCUCAUAAUAAUAUAUUUAGAAGUAUAAUUGACAUUUUAAAGUUGUUUUAUUGAAAAAAUAGAUAUAUAUAUAUAUAUAUAUAUAUAUAUAUAUAUAUAUAUAUAUAUAUAUAUAUAUAUAUAUAUAUAUAUAUGAUAUAAUUUGCGAUAUUAGAUGUAAUUACAUCAUGUCGAUCUAUAAGAAAUUUUAAUUUUGUAAUUGUUCUCAUUAUAAAGUCACAUAAAAUAUUCCAUUUCAUUAAAUAUCAAUAAUUUGUACACAUUAAAUUCAUUAAAUAAACAUAUUUCAUAUUCAAAAUAUACUAUUUCAUGUUAAUUAAAUUAAUUAAAUAAUUUAGCAUGUUAAUUAAAUUAAUUAAAUAAUUUAGCUAAGUUAACUAGUUUAAUUUAAUUCUAAAUGUGAAAAUAAAUCACAAAUAAUCAUCUAAAAUAAACAUAUCAAUUUAUAAUUAAAUAAUCAAAUUAACCUAAGUUAAUUCAAUAAAAAUAUAAAAAUUAAUUACAAUUGAAUGUAAAAAUAGCAUUAAAUCAUCCAUAUUGCAAACAUACUAAUUAAUUGAAAAUACAUGAAUUAAUUACAAUUGCAAACAAAAUUAAUUAUAAUUUAAAACAAAUAUACCUUAAAAUAAUUAAAUAAUUGAGCAACCUUAAUAAAAAUUGGAGAAAUGAGAGAGCAAAUGAAGAAUGAAAACAAAAAUGGAUGAAAUAGAUGAAAUUUGGGUUAUUUAUAGAAUAAAUUUGGGCCAAAAUAGCCGUUGGAACAUUAAUUUACUGUUGAAAAUCAAUUUUAGCCGUUGGAUAAAAAACUGGGAGCAAUCGGGCCGUUGGAUCGCCAUAUUACCAUUGGAAUCACAUCUAGGCCGUCGGAUCAACACGGGCGUGAUCUGGGCCGUCAGAUCACGUUGCAUGAAGGAGGGGAAAUAUCACCAAAAAAUCAGCGAUAUAUCUCCGAUAUAUCACCGAUUUUUUGCCACCAGAGGCGAUUUUUUGAAAAAAUCUCCGAUAUAUCUCCCCGAACUGAUAUAUCGCCGAUAUUUUGGCGAUAUUUACGAAAAUAUCUCCUCUCCGAUUUUUCUCCAUGAAAUAUCGUGUCGACCUCUCCCGAUACACAAUAUAUCGGCGAUAUAUUGCCGAUAUAUCCAGAUAUUUUCCUCCAUGGCUACAACUAAUCAUGAAUCAUGUUGAUGCAUCAUGAUCACCAUUCAUGGUGAGUCCCUUAGCUACUACAUGAAUUUUUCCAUAGGUAUUGUAUAGUAAUGCUUAUUCUUUGAAUAAUGUUUCUAUUUGAAAAAAAAAAUUAAUUCUUAGAUUUGUUCAUUUAUGAUAACAUAGAUCCAUGUUUAUUUUCUUUAAUAAAAAUCUCUAAAACUCAUUAAAUUUUGAAAUGCAGGUAUACACUCUUGGGAUGGUGAAAUGGAGAAUAAAAAGAAAGAAGAAGGCAACAAGAUUUUGGGUUAUUAAAUGCAACUCUUAUGUCAUACGUUGUAGGACAUAAACGUUACUUUAAUUGCAACUGAGAAAUUUAGAUUUUUAGAUGGGACUUCUAUGUCAUUUUAUGGUUAGCCGGUUUUAUGCUUAUGAAAUGGAGGUAUACAUGAAUCUUGGGAUCUUUAACAUUUCUAAAUCAUGUUUUGGUAUGUAUUCACUUUUCUUUUUUAGUUUUGAUGGGUUUGAUAUGUUGGACGUACUAUCCUUUUGUGAACAUUUGAUAUACAAAUAUUAUUAGAUGAUCAAUGUAUUAUGAGUUAUUCCAGAAACAUUACAGAAAAAUGAGUUAAAUAUAAUAUGAUUGUUAUAUUUAUGGACAAAAUAUAAACAGGUUAAUCUUAUUAAUUCAUAAGCAUUACAAAAAUCAACAACUAAAACCAAUCAUAUAUUCCACAAUAAUUUACAAUGAUGUGAUACCAUAACUCAAAGGUGAUGUAUUUAAUGUGACAUCAUAACUCAAAGAUGAUGUAUUUAAUGUGACACCCUAUCAUCACUAGAAAUAUAUGGUGUCACUUCUGAAUGGGUCACCAUUUAUCUACUUUGGUGUCACUUCCAAAUACGUCACCAAUUGGUACCCUCUAUGGUGUCAGUGAAGAAGGUGACGCUAUGUUAUAGUGAUACCUUAUGUUUAUGGUGACUCAUUAUAAAUGUCACCAUAUACCUUUUUCCUUGUAGUGAUUAUAAUAACUAUUGUUUAUUUUUCAUAUUAUUAUUAUUAUUAUUAUAAUUUUCUUGUGUUUAUUCAGUAUUAAUCAAUGAUAAAAAUAUCAGCAAUAACAGAUAUAUCAAUAUUUCAAUUUUACAAAUAUAUCAAAUAUAUCAGAGAUAUAUCGACGGAUAUUAUGAGAAAAAAAUUUGAUAGGCCUAAAAUGAUUCAAAACUCAUGAAAAUGUAAGAAAAACCUCAUAACAACGUAAUUAGAAGUAUAAUAGACAUUUUAAAGUUGUUUUGUUGAAGAAUUUGAUAUAUGUAUGAUAUAAUUUGUGAUAUUUGAUGUAAUUACUCCUCCUGCAUUAUCACCUUCAUCAUCAAUUCCACCUCUUGAACCAUCGUAAUCAGAAACAGAAGUACUUGUAGCAUUAGGUCUACUACUUUGGCAAGCACUUAUGGAGUCAACCUCUUAGUGGGAAUUCAAUGUCGCCUGAAAUGAAUCUUCAGUAGCUUUGCUAAAACUUUCAAAGUGAACUUCUUCAGACAACACACGUUUAACAUUAAGUCGAAAUUCUCCAGCAUAAGCAGCAAUUCAUAGAUCAGGAUUUCCAACUUCAUCAUCCAAGUGCAUAGGUCUAACCCAUUCAAACAACUGAUUAUCUUCUUCUUCACCCACCUUGGUUGAAAUGUCAAAAAGAUUAAGGUAAUCUUUUUCAACAACUCAAUCAUUUUCUGCCUCCAUAUCGCGUAACUUUAGCCUGAUAUUAUUAUAACAAAAAACUAAUUAUUCCAGUCGAGGGUAAGCCAAAUGAUUUCAUUGCUUUGUGUGGAUGAGAGCAAACAUGCUCUAAUUUCUCUCACAGACAGAAGAUGAUGCAGUUUGUGACAGAACUUUGAGGGCCAACUUCUUCAAUGUAGGUGUUUGAUUUCAUACAUGAACCACCAUUCAGAUGCAACCAAUUUCAUAAUUAUAUAAAUACUUAUGUGAUGAAUUUACAAUAAUGAUAAUCAAUUUUGUUCCUAUAAAUACUCAUCGGGCACCAUGGUCGACCAUGCUGUAAUCGUUGCUUGAUCACUAAAUCCUUUCUUUGCAUCUCGAAAAAGCACAAGCUAUGUAUUCAACAUUUAAUUUGUUAAUAUCAUAUAUGUUAGUAAACGUUCAAAUAAAUUGAUGAAUGAAAUUAUUGUUUUAUUAAAUUGAGUAAAAUAACUUUUUUUUUAUUUACCUCAUUUCCAAAUUGACCAAGUGAUUCAAUAGUUGGGUCUAAUUUUGCAAAAACAUUAUGGACCGCUUGAAGUAGUUUCGAAUCACUACCAACUCCAUGCCUAUAUUGAAAUCUUGGAUUCAAGAAGUAUGCUACAAUAAAAUUAAGUAGGUUUAGUAUUUUGUUGGAGAAAAUUAAAUAAAUUAAAAGUAAAAACUUAUAAAGAUAGAUAGUAUUUAAGUACCUACUGCAUGAAGUGGAUGUCUCAGUGUUUUCUCCCAAUAAUCUUUUAUUAUUUUGAAGAUCCAAUCUCCAACUCCAGCUCCUUGAUGAAUGAGGUUCUCUUUCAUCACGUGCAUAAGCUUGUACAUAAACAUCAUUAUGGGAACAACUUCAGAAUCCAUAAGCCAAAGCACCACGUAUAAUGGCUCAUAUAAUGAAACCAUAUUUGUCACUUUAUCCCAAUACGAAUGGUCAAACAUUAAUUGUUCCAAAUCUCAUCCAACUUUUGUUUGACUAAGCUUGUGUUGUGCCCAUUCAUCACUCAUAAACAAUCUUUUCAAAUCAACCAUUUUUUUUAAGAAGACUGUCAAAAGCAAUAUAAUUAGUAGCAAACCUAGUAGUUCUCAAUCGAACAAUGUCUCCACCAGAAUACUUUCUCAUUUGUGUAAGUAACCAACCAUGGUUGUAAAUGAAGUUGGUUAUCUUGCGAGCAUUGUAUAUCACAUCUAUAACACUAGGUCUUUUGAUAAUGUCUUCAAAGAUUAAGUCAAUACAAUGCGUUGUGCACAAAGUCCAAUAUAAGUUAAACUUCUUCAUCAAUAGCUUCCUUUCUUUCAUGAAUGCCGACCCAUUAUCUAUGACAAUUUGGACCACAUUUUAUUGAUCGACUUCUUUUAUAACAAUCUUCAAUAGCUUGUAUAUAUACUUGUAGUCUUUUAUAUUGUUCGAUGCAUCAACUGACUUAAGGAACAUCGUGGUCCCUUUUGGAUAAACCAUGAAAUCAAUAAUACUUAAUUCCGUGGUCAUGUCCAUCCAUUUGACAUUAUUGUGCACUCAUAUGUCUUCCAUUUUUCUCUUUAUUGGUUCACAUAAGCUUCCACUUCUUUGUACUCAAUUUCAAAGCACUUAUUCUUUAUUUUAUAUGGAGAUGGAGGUUCGAUUCGCAUUCCUGCAAUUCAUAUAUAACAAUUAUUUAAAACAUGUCACAAAAGACUAUACUUACUAAAAGUCUGAAACAAUAUAAGAAUUCAAAAAUUAGUAAUUAUUUGUUUGCUAUGCACCGAUAAUCAUAUUCUUGAAGUGAUGAGAAUUUGCUUUUUGGGGUGCGAUGCUCUCAUAAAUGAAGAAUUUGCUUAUUAAGUGUCCCAUCAUUUCUUUAAUUGAACCACCCUUGAAUAUAUCUUUGAUAUUUUUUUUGUCUUGCUGCAGAAGAGUUGUAGAGCAAAUGGGCAAUAGGUGGUGAUUGGUUUGAAUGUUGCAUACUUUGUGAUUUCCGCAUCGUCGUUGGUGUACUAGUAGGAUGUGAAGACUCUCCUAUUUUAUGUUUGCUUUCUACGAUGUUCUCAUAUUGUUGAUGCUCCCAUUCUGUCGCUUUUGAGGCACAAACUACAGAUCGAUGUGCAUACCACUCAUCUGGGUGCAUAUUUGUUGGAUACAUAUACACAUCUUGAUCCUCGACAUCUUCAUCAUCAUCAUCUUCAUUUAUCAGAUGUGUAUCACCGACCCCCAUUGUGCCACAUAAUUUAGCACGAAUCUCUUGAAUAUUUGCAACUUUCUUUGCUUUUGCUUUAGUUUUGUUAUACACCAUCGAUCGUAUCCCUUCUUUCACUUCGAGAGGCACUCUAGGACACUUUUUCGUGUUGUGAUGAGAGUCUUUAUGCGUUAAUUAGAACUUGAAUCGCGUGAUGCCUUCACUUUUCAUUAACAAUCCACAGAAAUUACAAAUUAUCUCAUUUCUGUUCCCCUCUACUUGUGAAUAAUACUUCCAAGUUAGAUCUCGCCCUAACAUGGGAGGGCCACCUCCACUCCCACUAUCCAUUCUAAAUCUAUUGCAAAAAAAAUACAAUUGAAUGUGAUUUCAAUGUAAAAAAAAGUAAGUAAACAUUUAAAAUUAACAUGUUGCAAUUGAAUGUGAAAAUAAAAUAAAAUAAUAAUGUAAAAUGUACUAAUUCAUGUAAAAUAAAUUAAAAUAAUUAUCUAAAAGGAACAUAUUUGAUAUACCAAAUAUACUAAUUCAUGUUAAUUAAAUUAAUUAAAUAAUUUAGUUAAGUUAAUUUAUUAAAUCUAAAUCUAAAUCUGUCGAAAAUUUACUAAAUAUACUAAUUAACUAUAAUUGAAUGUGGAAAUCAAUUAAUAUAAUCAUCUAAAAUGAGCAUAUUUGAUAUUCCAAUUAUACUAAUAUAUGUUAAUUAAAUUAAUUAAUUAAUUUAGCUAAGUUAAUUUACUAAAUCUAAAUCUAACUAGAUUGAAUGUGAAAAUAAAAUAAAAUAAUCAUCUAAAAUGAACAUAUCCAUCUAUAAUUAAGCAAUCAAAUUAAGCUAAGUUAAUUCAAUGGAAAUAUACAAAUUAAUUAUAAUUGAAUAUAAAAAUAACAUUAAAUCAUUCAUAUUGCAAAUAUACUAAUUAAUUGAAAAUAUAUUAAUUAAUUAUAGUUAAAAACAAAAUUAAUCAAAAUUUAAAACAAAAAUACCUUAGAAUAAUUGAAUAAAUGAGUAAUCUUAGAAAAAUUAUGAGUAAUGAGAGAUCAAAUGAAGAAUGCAAUCAAAUUUGGAUCAAAUUGAUGCAAAAUGAACCAUUUAUAGGAAAUUUUUGGCCAAAAUAGCUAUUAAAAGAUCAUUUUAUCGUUGAAAAACAUUUUUGGCCAUUGGAUCAAAAUUUAGGCGAAAUCUAACCAUUGGAACAUGAAAUAGUCGUUGGAAUACCAUCCCAACCGUUGGAUCAAACCCAUAUUCAAUCUAGGGCGUUGGAUGGACUAACAACAUGACCAUUGCAAAUGGGUGUGAUCUAGGCUGUUAGAUCAAUGCGGGCGUGAUUUGGGCCAUCAGAUCAACUCGGGAGUGAUCUGGGCUGUUAGAUCAAUGUGGGCAUGAUCUGGGCUAUUAGAUCAACAUGGGCGUGAUCUAGGCUAUCAGAUCACGCUAAAAAAAGGGCGGUGAUUUUAUUUGAAAAAAUCGAUGAUUUAUCGUUGAUAUAUCAUCGAAAUAUCGGCGGUUUUCCAUAGUGUGAGUUGAUUAAUUGAAUGAAUUGCCGAUUUAUCGCUCACAACCGAUAUAUUGACGAUAUUUUAGGGAUAUUUCUCGAUUUUUCUCCUUCCCGAUAUAUCAUUAGGAAAUAUCAUAUUGAGGUCUUUCGAUACACGAUAUAUCGGGUAUAUAUUGUUCAUAAAUCGCGAUAUUUUCGUCCUUGGUACUAACACAUUCCUUCAAAAAUUGAAAUAAUAACACAUAAUAGAAAAAAAUUGUUUUUAAUAAUUUUGAAGUACACAUUUUUUUAAACAUUUAAUGCUAUCAAUAUUUAAAAUUUUGUAACCACUAAUAUUAUUUGUAUUUAUAAUAAAAUUUUUAUAUUCUUAUCAUGUUUUUUAUAUAAGGCUUAUUGAUUACUACUCAAAAAGUGCUAUUUUAUAGCUUGUAAUUAACUAUUUUAAACACUUUUGAGUAGUAAACUUGGGGAUUAGCUUCAUGAGAGUAGGAAGUUGCAUGUUGAUUCUAUCCAUACGUCACAUCUUUACCUGAUUUUACCUCUUCGAACCUGUUGCAGUCCUGUCCAUUGAUCUAUCCUCUAUUGCAAUCUUCUCAACUGGUACAAACCAUGAAGGGAAUCCAUGAAAUUAGAAUGAAGUAGCAAGAUGAGGAGGUGACAACCAUGGAAGUACAGGUGUUGCAUCACAUUAAGUGCAAUCAACCUCUUGAGCACAACCAGAAUAUAAAUAUUAUAUAUAUAUAUAUAAAAAGACAAAUGUGUUUCACCAUGUGCACAACCUAUUAGGUUAUAUGAAUGUGUUUGUGGAUGUGAAUGCACAUAUGGACAUAUAAUCCAACAUGCGAUGUGCAUAAAUAGGUAUAACUAUUAGGACAUUGAGUCUUAAUGUAUGUUAGCAAUUUUCCUCCAGUUUAUUUUUUUCGGUAGGAAUCUUUUUAAAUAAGUGACUUACUCUCCAUUGAAGAUCAAGAGUUGUUGUUCACUCAACUGAGAAUUACAUGUAUGUCUAAGAAGGUUUAAUUUGUGGCAAGUUAGGCUCCUAUAAGGUAUAAAGAGGAAUGAUAUUUUUUUGGAAUUAAAUUGCAUUUUAUUUUAAAAAGGUAAAAAUACAGGGGACGCUUAAGAGGAUAGCAGUGCUCAAGUGCUAUGACCACUCAAGCUCUUGACAUCGCUUAAGAGCCCAAGAUGCUCAAGUGGUGGUUAAGUGUGCUCGAGCACUCAUGCCGAUUCUAUUGAGUUUUGGGAGAAUAUUUUUUUAGAAUUUCCUGCAAAUUCUAUUUGGAAACCUUAUGAUACCGAACCUCUUUGACAUAGGUGUCCUAGAGUGUUUGGUGGAUUCUAGAUCGAAUUUUUUAACUAACUCCCUAGAAUACUUGGUUGAGAAAGAAAGAUUCUAUCUUUUAAUUGCCUAAUCAACAAUCCUAGAAAGAAGGUUAGUUCACCCACUAUACACAUUUCAAAUUCAGUCUUAAUCUCUUUGAUAAAACUAAGGGCAAUGUCACUAGGGGUGGCUCUAAAAACUAUAUCAUCUACAUAAAUCUGAGUCAUUAACAACUCAUUCUUGGACAUAUGAAUAAACAAGGUUUUGUCAACUCUCAUUUUCUCAAACUUUUUCUCUAAAAGAUAGGUUAUGAGCCUCUCAUAGCGAGCUAUAGGAGCUUGCUUUCCUUCAUAAAGAGCUUUCUUUAAUCUAUAGAUAUGAUUGGGGAAUUUCGGAUCCUCAAAACCCUUAGGUUUCUCAACAUAAACCUCUUCACUUAGAAUCUCAUUCAAAAAACAGCUCUUGACAUUCGUUUGGUAAAGCUUUAUCCUUAAGUAGCAUGUUAUUGCCAAAAGAAUCCUAAUAGAUUUUAAUCUAGCUACAAGUAAAAAUAUCUCUUCAUAAUCAAUCAUUUCUAUUUGUGAGUAUCCUUGGGCAACUAAUGUUGCUUUGUUUUUCACAAUGACAUCAUUUUCAUUUUAUUUGUUCUUGAAAAUCCAUUUUGUACUUAUGAAAUGUUUAUCUUUAAGCCUAGGGACUAAAUACCAUAUAUCAUUCCUAGUGAAUUGAUUAACUCUUCCUAGAGUGCAGUAGUCCAAGAUUCAUCACCUAAAGCUUCUUCCACAUUCUUUGGCUCUAAUUAGGAGGUGUAGCAUACAAAAUUCAUCUCACUUAAUAUUGAUUGUCUCAUAGUAAUCACACGUUCAUUUACAUUACCUAUAACAUUUGAGAUUGGGUGGUUCUUAGGUAAUUUAGAUCUAUGCUUACUCCUCGUUAUUUUAAAAGUGUCAUCUAGAGAUACAUUUUCCUUCUUAUUGGGAUCAAUAUCUUUUUUGAGGAUAUCAUUAGGGUUAUCUUUUGUGAUAUCCACAUCUUUAGGGUUAUCCUCAAUAGAAUCCUAAGUUAAAAUUUGACUCUCAAUUAUAUCCUGAUCAUACCCAGUAUUAUUUAUAACCACAUUAAAGGAUUCCUAGAUGACUUGUGAAUAUUGAUUAUAAACCCUACAGGCUUUACUCAUAGUAUACUAGCCUAGGAAGAUACCUACAUCAGAUUUAACAUCAAACUUUCCAAGGUUCUCCCCAUCCCUAAGUAUAUAACAUUCACUGCCAAAAGUCCUAAAAUACUUAAGGUUAGGGUUUCUUCUAGUCUAUAUUUCAUAAGAUGUCUUAUUUGUUUCAAGCCUAAGAAAAACCCUAUUAGUAGUAUAACAUGUUUUAUUUAUAGCUUUUGCUCAAAAUUGCAUGGUUGUAUUAUGCAUAUGAAUCAUUUCCCUAGCCAUUUCUUAUACCACUAUUUUUUCUUUUAGUCACUCCAUUUUGUUAAAGAGUUCUAGGGGUUGAAAAUUCAUGUUUAAUUCCUUUAGACUUGCAAAAGAGGUCAAGAUCCACAUUGUCAAACUCUCUCAUCCUAUCACUCCUAAUCCUUACAAUUGGAUGACCUAUUUCCACUUGUAUUCUAUUGAAUAAAGACUUCAAGUGCUCUAUGGUCUUUAAUUUCUCUUUAAGAAAACUCACAAAUGAGUAUUUCGAAAAAUCAUCCACAACAACAAGGACAUAUCUCUUGUCACCUCUACUUUUUGUAUGCAUUAGACCUAUAAGAUCCAUAUGAAGCAAGUCUAAUGAUUUGGUGGUCCUAAUUUCCUUAACUUUUUUGUGAAAACUUUUAGUUUGUUUACCUUUCAUGCACUCUCCACAAAUGGGUUUAGGUUCACCACUAAGUCUAGGGAUAUCUCUAACGUUUUUUCUAUUCACUAAGUGCAUAAGGUCCCUAUAGUUUAUGUGACCUAACCUUUUAUGUCAGGGUUCAGUAGGAUCUAGCUUUGCCCUACUACACACAAGAGGUGUUCUAGAAUUAGGAUUUAUUACAUAACAGUUGUCAACUGUCCUCUGUCAAGAUAUCAUGUGUUCAGAGGAUGCAGAAUGGUGGAGAUAGAAAGUGUGUUGAUGGUGCAUAGAUGAUAGUCAGAUGGUGGAGCCUGCGUGUGAUGGUAACUGAAAUCUAAAAACUAGCGAGAUGAAGAUGUGGGUGCAGUGUCCAAAUGAUGGAACUGGUGUUUUGGUACAGAUCUUCAAUGGCGAUGGUGUGUUCUCCUUCUAGAGAUGGAGAUGGUGCUUAUUCUAAUGCCGAAAACUGAAGCUUGUAGAAAACACUAGGUCAUGUCGUGUUGAUGCAAUGCCAUGAUGAUCUAUUCUUCCUCUCUGUCCAAAAAAAAAACCCACUGCAAGAUGGAGAGGAUUCUUUUUCCUGGUCGGCAUGUCUUCUCCUCCAUUGAAGCUUCUCGAAUCCAUUAGACACACAAUCCUCAUGCUACCAUAUGCUAGAUGCCAACAGAAAGAUAGAUGCUUCUUCCAGAGUCUUCUGAAAGCCAUGAGUCUUCAUAAAUCCAUCUCAAACCGUGUCUUCAUCUCUUGAGAAUCCCCUCAAUAUUCAUCUUUAAUUUCUUUUUCCACUUUUUAAAAAUUAUGUCUAUCCCUUAAACUCUCACAAAAUGUCCACACCUACCUUUCAAUCUUAAUAUGGUAUCCAUCCCAUCUCCAAUGACCAUGCAUCCAAGGAAAUCCCACCUUCCAAAUAUCAAUCUCAAUGUGACCGUGCACACCUUCCAUACACUCUCUACAAAAUUUCAAAGUUAAUAGAUUAAAUAAAAUAAUAAUAAUAAUAAUAAUAAAAGUAAAACAUUUAAACACAAUUAGUAAAAAAGAAAGAAAAAUCCCAGGCCUAACUCAAGACUGCCAAGGGUCGCAAUAAAGGGUCAGAUAAAUCCCUCAACCAGAGUGUGAGGUGGCUCAAAAAAAGAUAAGCUACAUGAGUAGUAAUGGGCCACUAAGGAACUAUUGUGGAGCAUUGGAAGUAAACUUAAAGACAUGUGUUAAAGGGACAAAAUGGAAGAUCUACAAUGAUAUUUAAAACUUUCAUAGAUGGUUUGAACAUUAAUGCUUUUAGAAAAGUCAUUAAGUCAUUGUUUACUUAGUCAGACUGAUUAUUUAAGUGCAAUCAAAUCAAGAUAUCAACAUGAGAUUAUUAAUAUAUGUUAUAUAUUAUUAAACUUUAAAAUAACUAUAACUAAAUAUAAUUUAAAAACUUAAAAUAUUUCAUCAUUUUGUUUUUAACAUUAACAAAUUAAACAGUGAUAAGAUAAAAUUUAAAUAUAAUUGGGCUUUUUAUUGUUACUAUAUAUAUAUCAAAUAUAAUAAUUUUUAAGAUAAUAGCAUGAUAGAAUAUAUAAGUAUUUUAUAUUUUUUUUAAUAUUUAAAUUUAUAUUUAUAGUAUUUCAUAAAAUUAGAAAUAUUAAUACAUGUUUAUUUUAUCUUUAUCGUAAUUAUCAUUUAAUCUGUUGAAUGUUAAAACAUAAAAAAAUAAAUAAAUAAAACAUUAGUAUUAUAUAUUUUAAUUUUCUUAUAAUUAUUUUAAAUUUUAACAAUAUAAAAUAUAUAUUUAAGAUGUAAUAUUAAUGUUUUCAUAAAUAAAGCAGAACCCAACAAUAUUUUACUUAAAAUAUUAAGUAAAAUCGUCGGAUCUAUAUGCUUAGACUAAUCAAGUGAUCCAUGGGUUCUACAUCGAUUUGUUUGCAAGAUGGUCAAAAAGCCAACCCCAAUCGCAAAAAGAAAACAGGAAUGAAUUUUAUAUAUAAAGUAUAUACUAGUUAUUGUCAUGACGCGUUCAUAUAGUUUGUGGCUAUCGAAUAUUUAUGAAAAAAUAGGUGGUGGUUGUUAGAUACAAUUUUUUUUGUUUUUUUGUUUUUUUGAAAUAUGAUUAGAAAAUGAUUAAAUUGCUGGUGUAACUAAUAUUCUUUUAUUAUUUAAUUUUAUAUAAAUCAUAUAUUUAUAUUUUCAUGUCGAUGUCACGGUUUUGAAAAUACUGAUGUUUAUAUGAGGCUGCAAUCACAUAUAUAAAAGGCAGAUAGUGGCUAUUUUUACAAGGAGCGUAGCCGGUGGUAGUAGAAUAUACAUGUAUAAAAAAAUAAAAAAAAAUAAAAAAAUUAUUAGAGACAUUAAAGGUGGUCGGUGGUCUUAUGCCUGUGAGCUUUUCAGCUUCCGUUCCCACGUACCGAGGUUGAGUUUUGUUAACUGGACCAAACAACCCACUAGCCGAAGAAGUAAUUGAAGUGAGUGGUGAAUUUCGAGAUUCGAGAAUAAUUGUAAACAACUAAUGAGAUUUAGGAUAAGUAAAAUUUUAUAUGAACUGAUAGUUUUAGCCACCCCACGCGGAAUCAAUAAUAAUUCCAUUGACAAAAAGACGAACACUCAUGCUGACCUUCUGACAUUGCACCCGCCUUCUAUUGAAAUUCAUUGCUUUUUUUCCCCCUACCAGUGUUUUCCUUUCCUUUCUACGAAGAAAUUGCCUAUGCUCAGCUGAGCCCUGAUAGUAAGAUCGUCGCUGGUAGCUUUAGCACACAACCUGUCAAUGGCUUCUGCGAACGUCCAUGGGCGUCUUCUUCUUCUUCUACUACUCCUGUCCGUCCAUGGGAUUACGAAGUUUUCUUUAGCUUUACGGGUGUCGAUACCCGCUACAGUUUCAUAGCUCAUCUCUAUGCAGCGUUGGAUCGGAAAGGGAUUGUUGCCUUUAUAGACGAGGGCCUUGAAAGAGGUGAAGAGAUCGCAUCAAGUCUUGUUACAGUUAUUAAGAAGUCAAGGUGCGCUUUAGUGAUUCUUUCCAAAAACUAUGCCCAUUCCAAAUGGUGUUUGAAGGAACUGACAAAGAUCAUGGAGUGUAGGGUAGAAAUGGGACAGAUAGUUUAUCCAGUUUUCUAUCAUGUGGAUCCUUCUGAUGUGCGAAAUCAGAGGGGCAGUUAUGGAGCAGCAUUAGCCAUGCAUGAAAGAAAUGGGUUGGGCCACCAGACACAGAGGUGGAGAGCAGUCUUGACAGAAGUGAUAGGAUAAACACAAACAAUGCACAACCAGAUUUUAUCUCCUCUUGUGAGAACCUAAUAGGAAUCAAUCAAAUAGAGCAACAAGAAUUCACCAAAUCAAUAGGUAUAUGAACACCAACAAUUUUUAGCAUGGAAAACCUUGUCCAAUGUGAGACGUAAAAACCACGGGACACUUAGGCCACUUAAAAACUUCACUAAUAUAAUCAAUGGGUUACACAAUUCUCUCUAAAUAAAACUAGAGGCAUACAUCAACCAUAUCUCAAAACAAAUUAAUCUUGGCAAUUUCAACAACUUUGCAUAAAGACAAUGGAGAAAUCUCAUUAAACAUAGCCAUUGUUCUCAGACUGAAAUAUAACUGUUCCAAACUCCAAAUCCAAUAUCCACUGUUCAUAAUGAAUAUUAAUGAGUUCUGAACGUAUUCACAAAAAAUCAGCUCAAUCGAACCACAGAUUAAUCUUGAUCGGAGCUCAUGAUCAAAAUUGUCCAAAUAGAAAACUCACCAAAAUAGAGGCUCUAUUCUCGAACUAAAAGACGACCGUCCGGAACUCCAAAUCUGAUCUCCACAAUUCAGAUUGAAGAUCAAUGAGUCACGAACCUCUUCUCCAAAUUUCAGGUCGAUCGGCCCACAGACGAAGCGAAAUUAGACAUUUGAUGAAAUCUAGACAAUGAAGAAACAAUGAGUUUUUCUCUCUAACUUCAAAAAUGGUGGUUCUCCCUUCUCUCUCUUUUCUCAUUCUACUCUAUUUUUUUUCUACCUCUGGUCGCUACAAAAAAAAAUUGGUAGAAGAAGAAGAAGAGGGAUUCUUCUUCUAACCAUUUUAUAUAAAGGCCUAAGAGGCCUUAAACUUUGUGUUCUUAAUUUGAGCCUUCCACAUGAGGAAAAACCCAACAAAUCUCUCCAUUUUCGAUUAUGUGGAGGGACUCGCCAUCUCGGCGAUUGAACAACAAACUUCAAGCUUUUCCCUUGGUAAGGACUUCGUUAACAUAUCUGAGCCAUUGUGAUCGGUAUUUAUCUUCUCAAGUUCAAACAAGUUGUCAUUGAGAGCAUAUAUCACCCAAUGAUACCUUAAAUCAAUAUGCUUCGAUCUUGUAUGAAAGGUAGAAUUCUUACUAAGGUGAAUGGCGCUCUGGUUAUCACAGUAUACCAUAUAACACUGUUGCUUAAACCCGAGAUCAUGUAUGAAACGCUUCAUCGACAACAACUCUUUACAUGAUUUUGUUGUUGCAAUGUACUCUGCUUCUAUUGUAGAAAGUGCAACACAUUUCUGUAGUCUUGAUUGCCAAGACACAACACCUCCUAAGAAUGUCAUCAAAUAGUCUGAAGUAGACAUUCUAUUAUCUACAUCCCCUACCAUGUUUGAAUCAGUGUAGCCAACAAGUACUGGUUUCCCACUUCUAAAAGUGAGUUUCAACUUGGAAGUGCCUCGCAAAUAUCUCAUAAUCCACUUGACUACCUCCCAAUGUAGUCUUCUUGGAUUAGAUAGAAAGCGGCUAACAACACCAACUGCAUAAGCUAUGUCUAGUCUAGUACAUACCAUGGCAUACAUCAAACUUCCUACUACCGAGGCAUACAGAACUCUUCUCAUGCCUUUCUUCUCCUUAUCUGUAGAAGGGCUAUGUCUGCUGCUUAGCUUAAAGUGACUAGUUAGAGGAGAACUAACCACUUUACCUUUGCUCAUGUUAAAUCUUUCAAGCACCUUUUAAUUAUAUUGCUCCUGUGACAUAUACAACUUCUUGGAUGCUCUAUCUUGCUCAAUUCUAAUACCAAGAAUUUUCUUUGCUGGCCCCAAAUCCUUCAUGGAAAAGGAUUUGCUUAAUUGCUUCUUCAACUUAUCAAUUCUUGAAACAUUUCUACCAACAAUCAAGAUAUCAUCAACAUAGAGCAACAAUAUAACAAAAUCAUCAUUAGAGAAUUUUUGCAUAAAUACACAAUGGUUAGAAGUAGUUUUUCGAUAGCCUUGCUCCCCCAUAACUGAUUUAAACUUCUUAUACCACUGCCUCGGUGUCUGUUUCAAGCCAUAAAGACUUUUCUUCAACUUAUACACAUAAUCCUUUUUUUCUUUUAUUGUGAAACCCUCUGAUUGUUCCAUAUAAAUUUCUUUGUCUAAGUCACCAUGGAGAAAUGCAGUCUUAACAUCCAUUUACUCAAUUUCCAAAUCAAGACUAGCUGUCAAGCCCAAAACUACAUGAAUAGACAACAUCUUAACAACAGGAGAAAAAAUCUCAUCAAAAUCAAUACCUUUCUUUUAACUGAACCCUUUGACAACCAAUCUAGCUUUGUAACGUGGUUGUGAAGUGUGUUCUUCUUGCUUCACUUUGUAAACCCACAUGUUCUUCAAAGCUAUUUUUCUCUUUGGCAACUUGAUAAGCUCAAAAGAAUGAUUCUCAUGCAAUGACUUCAUCUCAUCUUGCAUAGCAUCAACCCAUUUCAUCUUAUUUUCAUCUCUCAUGGCUUCCUCAUAACUUUUAGGUUCUCCCCCGUUAGUCAGUAAUACAUAAUCAUCAACAGAAUACCAUGUGGAAGGAUGUCGGUCUCUGAUAGACCUCCUGAGUGGAAUAUAUGGUGGAGUCUCUGCUACUGUGACUGCUCAUGAAUAUCAUCAUCCAUCUCAACUUGUGUGGGAGUUUCAACAUCACUAAUGUCAUGUUGGUCAUCAUGUGCUUCAUCUUCAACUUGUGUAGGAAAAUGUGUCAAAGGAACUGGAUCUAAGUCAAUCAAAUUAUCACUAUACUGAAACUCUAUUACAUCAGUCUUCUCAAUGUCCUGUAUAGUAUGAUCUUCCAUAAACAUAGCAUCUCGGCUUCUUACAAGCUUUUUCUGCACCGGAUCAUAAAACCUAUAACCAAGCUCAUCCUGACCAUAGCCAAUGAAUACACAAGGUCUUGUCUUAGCAUCAAGCUUAGACCUCUCAUCUUUCGAAAUGUGCACAAAAGCCUUGCAUCCAAAGACAUGCAAGUGAUCAUAAGAGAUUUCAUUAUCUGACCACAUUUUAUCUGGAACAUCAAAUUCUAAAUGAACACAUGGUGUAAGAUUGAGAACAUGUACAAUAGUAUUCAAAGCCUCACUCCAAAAGGAUCUUGGCAACUGUGACUGCGAAAGUAAACAUCUUACCCUUUCAACUAGUGUCCUAUUCAUUCUCUCAACCAACCCAUUCAACUGAGGAGUCUUAGGAGGUGUCUUUUGAUGUUGAAUACCAUGUUGUCUACAAUACUUAUUAAAAGGACCAAAAUACUCACCCCCAUUAUCAGUGCAGAUGCAUUUCAAUUUUUCACCAGAUUGUCUCUCAACAAAAGCAUUGAUUCAUGCCCAGUUAGGUCUUUUAAUAAAAAAUAUUUAUAAAUCCUAUGACCUUAUAUUGGCGUAGCAAAGCUACUAUAGUAUAGCAGCUCUAGGGUCGAACUCAGGGAUGGGUUUUCACUCUAUCAGUGACAGACUCUAGAUUAGAAAUUGAGUCUGAUGAUUUCCUUUAUCAUAAACUUGACGUUUAAAAGAAAAUAAAAUUUGUUUUGAAAGUGGUGAUUGAAACUAAACUAACAUAGAACUAAGUAAAAAUGGAAGAAAGAAAGUCUCCCGGAGCUAAGGGUUGCUAGGAUCAAGUUCAGAAUGCAAAGUGGAAAAUUCCAGAUUUUUCUCAUCGCAUUGGGGAUUUAACCUAUAGUUAUUUCCCGAACCGGUAUAGGUUUAACAAUGAAGAUUUAAUCCAUAAAAAGUCAAUAGAAAUGAUAGUCAAGGUCCAUUAAUGGUUUUAGACAUUAUGGGUCUUCACCUUGAACCACUUUCCAAUGGCUCGUACAUGAUAACUAAUGGACUGAUAUGGAUCUAGCAAUAAGCAUCCACAGAGACCUGAAGCUUACCAUGUAUUGGCCAUUCAAAGUGAUUCUAAGGGAUUUAAAGCAAAACUUUGGAUUUAGAAGCCAUUUAUGAACUCCAACUACCUUAAUUUAAUGCACGGAAGCUUUCCACCUUUUCAUCUGGACUUUUCACCUAGCUUCCUUUACUCCAAGAAACUAUAAGUUUAGCCUCUCAUCCUCUAGGAAAACAUCCUCAGAGGCUGUUUGGCUUCCAAGAAAAAGAAAAUAGUAGAGAGAAAAAGAAAGCAAAAGAGAUCUCUCUAUUUCACUAAGUGUAAAAUUUACAUAAGUUGGUCUCCUGGAAAAAGCUCCCCGAGAGUCGUUUUUCAGUGUUUACAAGAGAGUUUAUAUAGGAAGGUAAUUUUACCCUUCCUUGGAUACUUCCUAGCUAAGGAAUUACAUGAGUGGCUGAAUACAAGGAGAAAAUGGAAAUUUAGACACAAAAAUAUCAGAAGAAAAAGAGUCGGCAUAAAUAUCCCAGUUUCGCACGUUGCAUGGUGACUUGCGAAAAUUUCGCAAGUUGAUUUCGCAACUUAGAAUUCACUUUCGCAUGUUGAGAUCCAAGUCCACAAGUUGCAAAAUCAACUUCGCAUGCUGGGCUUCACCGCGACUUCACAGCUGCCAUCCAUUUUAAAUUUCGCACGUUGAAGUUCCAAUUUCACAAGGUGCGAAAUUGUCCCUCAGCUUGCUGCAGUUUUCUUCUGAAGGCCAUAUCUUCCUCAUUUCAGCUCCAAAUCGUACACGGUUUAAAGCGUUGGAUUCUUGACUUCCUGAGCUUUGAAAUGGUAUAUAUAAUGUAGAAAAUAGACUUCGGAAAGUGCUCCAAAAGUGCGAAGGAAGACUGCAGCUGUGUCCCCUGUUUUCCUUACCCUGUUUUCCUCUUCUCCAUUGUUCUUUCCUUGCAUACUUUGAACGACUAAGGCAAAGGACUAUGAGGCUCCAAAGCUUGGUUUCUUCAUAAAUUUGAGCUUCCAAAAGCUUUUCCAUGAACUAUAUAAAGCUCUCCCUCAUUCUUAAAUUGCUUUGGUGAGCAUAAAGCUAUCAAAAAGCACCAAAACUUAACACAAUUUGAUUAGAAACGAUUGCAAGGGUCCCUAACAUGCUAAUUGAGUUAAAAGGUAAUAAUUACUACUCAAGGGUGUUUAAAAGAGCUAAUUAAAAGCUACAAAAUAGCAUGUUUUGAGUAGUAAUCAAGCAUGAAAUUGCUUAAACACCUCUAACACUUGGUCUUUUGUUUUCAAGGUAUACACCCAAAUCUUUCUUGAAUGAUCAUCUAUAAAAGUCACAAAAUAUAGAGAUCCACCAAGUGUUUUUGUUUUCAUAAGACCAUACACAUUAGAAUAUACUAAAUCAAGCAUACCUGGCUUCCUUGUAUGGCAGUGUGUUUUGAAUGCAACUCUGGUCUGCUUUCUUACUAAGCAAUGAGCACACAUUUUCAAAGAUCCCUUCUUCAUACCAGAAAGAAGAUUUUUCUUAGCUAAAAUCAUCAAGCCCUUCUCACUCAUGUGACCGAGUUUGUUGUGCCAAAGCUCAACUAUGCUAUCAUCAUCCACUGCAUUGAUACUGGAAUCAAUUACCCUUGCCUGCAUCAAACACAAUGAGGAACACUUCUUUCCUUUUGUUGCCACCAUAGAACCUAUGGUGAGCUUCCAUUGACUAUCAUGAAAGGUGUUGUAGAACCCUUCAUCAUCAAGCUUACCUGUGGAGAUGCGGAUAUCCGGAAUGUGUUUAACAUUCUUCAAAAUCAACAUAGUACCAUUACUAGUCUCCAAACGCACAUAUCUCAUACCAAUGGCUUUAGCUGAGCCCUCAUUAUCCAUCCUAACACUUCCAAAAUCACCGAAUGUGUAGGAUGUAAAGAAAUCUUUCUGAGGUGUAGCAUGGAUUAAGGCACCGCUAUCAAUCACCCAACUGGUCUCUUGGCAAGCAAAAUUAACAACAUCACUAUCAUAAACAAUAAGGAAAUCUGAAGUGGUAGUGGCAACUCGAUCAUCUUCACCACCAUUGUCAUUCUUCUUGUCCUUCACUUUCCCUUGUUUCAUAUCUCUCUUCAAUUGGCGACAAUACUUCACUAUAUGCCCUUUCAAAUGGAAAUAGUGACACUCAACAUUGGCAAACUUGUUAGUCUUGCUUUUUCUUCUAUCUCUGUUAUUCGGACCUCUACUCUUACUUCUCUCCCUCUUCUCAGUAACUAGGACAUCUAACUGUGAAGAAGAACCCUGUGACUUUCUUCCCAUCUCUUCAUUCAGAACACAACUCUUAACCAAAUCCAUAUUCAUAGUACCAUCUGGGGCUGAGUUAGACAAAGAAGUUCUAAAUGUCUCCCACGAGUCUGACAAGGUACCAAGAAGCCACAACCCUUGCAUCUCUUCCUCAAACUUGAUAUUCAUUCUAACCAACUGAUUAAUAAUACCUUGGAAUGUAUUCAAGUGAUCUGUCAUAGUAGUUCCAUCUUGAUACUUCAAGCUAAUCAUCUUCUUGAUCAGAAACAAUUUAUUGUUACCAGUCUUUCGAGCAUAUAACUGUUCGAGCUUGUUCCAUAGACUACGUGCAUGUUUCUCUUCACUAACAUGAUUGAGAACAUUAUUAUCUACCCACUGUCUGAUAUAACCACAAACAUGCCGAUGAAGUAAAUCCCAUUUUGCAUUAGUUUUAUUUUCUGGCUUUUCAGAAGCAAACACAAGCAAAUAAUAAUCCUUUGCAUACAAUAAGUCUUCCAUUUUUCCUUUCCAAACAUGAUAAUUGGAGCCAUUCACAGUAAUCAUUCUACUUGUAUUGCUUUCCAUUGUUUUACACAAGGCACAAAUUAUCUUGAACCAAUGCUCUGAUACCACUUUGAUGGGAUAAACACAAACACUGCACAACUAGAUUUUAUACCCUCUUCUAAGAACCUAAUAAGAAUCAAUUAAAUAGAGCAACAAGAAUUCACCUAAUCAACAAGUAUAUGAACACCAACAAUUUUUAGCGUGGAAAACCUUCUCUAAUGUGAGAAGUAAAAACCACAGGACCCUUAGGCCACUUAAAAACUCCACUAAUAGAAUCAAUGGGUUACACAAUUCUCUCUAGAUAAAACUAGAGGCAUACAUCAACCAUAUCUCAAGACAAAUUAAUCUUGGCAAUUUCAACAACUUUGCAUAAAGACAAUGGAGAAAUCUCACCAAACACAUCCACUAUUCCCAGAUUAAAAUAUGAUUGUUUCGAACUCCAAAUCCAAUCUCCAUCGUUCAGAAUGAAGAUCAAUGAGUUCUAAACGUGCUCACUAAAAAUCAGUUCAAUCGAACCACAAAUUAACCUUGAUCGAAGCUCAUGAUCAAAACUGUCUGGAUAGAAAACUCACCAAAUAGAGGCUCUAUUCUCAGAUUGAAAGACAACCGUCUGGAACUCCAAAUCUGAUCUCCACCAUUUAGAUGGAAGAUCAAUGAACCAUGAAUCUCGCCUCCAGAUAUCAGGUCAAUCGGCUCACAGGCGAAGCAAGAUAGACCUUUGAUGAAAUUUGGACAGUGAAGAAAAACUGAGUUUUUCUCUCUAACUUCAAAAAUGGUGGUUCUCCCCUUCUCUCUUUUUUCUCCUUCUACUCUCUUUUUCUUUUACCUCUGAUGGCUGCAAAAAAUUGGAAGAAGAAUAAGAAUAGGGAUUCUUCUUCUAACCCUUUUAUAUAAAGGCCUAAGAGGCCUUAAAUUCUGGGCUCUUAAUUUGGGCCUUUCACAUGAGAAAAAACCUAAUAGGAAGUAGCCAAUCUUUCUGGAUGGCAUCAAUAGAAUGGGUAAAUAUAGCUUGUUGUUUAUAAUCUCUUGCGAGUAUUCUUUAUUUUUUGUACAUAGCAUUAAACAAAAAUCUAUUGAACUUAUGAUCAAACAUAUGUGUCUUGUCCUAAAAAAUCAAAAUUUUAUGUUUCCUUUUUGAUGGGAAUACUAAUGUUGAGGCAAAGGGUUACUUAAUUGAACUUUAUUUCCACUUUAUUAGUCAUUAUUCAAUUCAAAGAUUCUUUCUGGUUUUGAAAAGAUCACCUAGGUUCAGGGGCACAUAUGGUUUUAAAAUUUGGUUUACAAUUUUUUUUUUUCAAUAAUUGGUGUUAUUCUUUUCCAAAUUGUGUGGAAAAAUUUCAUUAAUUGUUUUAAAUAAUUAUAUCAAGGGUUGAAAACUGAAAUGGUAAGUGACCCCAAUGAUCUAGUACAUUUUCAUCAAUUAAAAUAGAAAAUUCAUAGAUUUUCUAGACCAUUUCUCCAAAUUGGUUCUCUUGGAGAAUAGGGCAUGUGACUAUUUGGGAUGUGAUUUUUUUUUUUUUAGUGCAUUAGAGAACCGAUUUGGAGUUUUUCUUUUUGUACGAUAUAACAUUAGUCCUUCAAAAUAUAAGUUGCAU
rnacentral:lncRNA from 1 species